GGGCCCGCACAAGCAGCGGAGCAUGUGGUUUAAUUCGAAGCAACGCGAAGAACCUUACCAGGUCUUGACAUCCAGUAAAACUUGUAGAGAUAUGAGGUGCCUUCGGGCAUACUGAGACAGGUGGUGCAUGGUUGUCGUCAGCUCGUGUCGUGAGAUGUUGGGUUAAGUCCCGCAACGAGCGCAACCCUUGCCGAUAGUUACUAACGGGUGAAGCCGAGGACUCUAUUGGGACCGCCGGGGACAACUCGGAGGAAGGUGGGGACGACGUCAAAUCAUCAUGCCCCUUAUGACCUGGGCUACACACGUGCUACAAUGGCCGAGACAGAGAGGAGCGAAGGCGCGAGCCGGAGCGGAUCUCAAAAAAGCGGUCACAGUUCGGAUUGUGGGCUGCAACCCGCCCGCAUGAAGCAGGAGUUGCUAGUAAUCGCGAAUCAGCAUGUCGCGGUGAAUACGUUCCCGGGCCUU
rnacentral:rRNA from 1 species